CAGGCUAGCAAAGUGUACUGGAGUGUAUGGCUCCCUUGCGUAAUAGUAGUACGUUGUCACAUAACGUCAGGCGAUGGUUUAGAUAGUAUGGUAGCUUUCGCUAGAGCAUUAUCAUCACCCCUUGAAAAAUACCACGAGCUACGAGGGUAAGUAUAUCCGGAUCGAUUGUCGAGCUUCAACCACUGGCGCCACAUUCGAGCUCACGGCUGAUAAAAUGUCCAAUAUAGAAUAACGUCGUGCUGGUUUAGCUUGCGCGUCGACUCCAUGACCAACCACCCUAUACAUUCAUUCUAUAUAUAUAUAUAUAUAUAUAUGUACAUGCUUUACUACACCCUCGCUUUACUUUUUUUCCAGUCGCGUACGAGCAGCGUGCGAGAGAGUGACGUGUGCGGAGUUACCACCGAGGGUACUCGCGCGUCGUUUAGUCGGAGGAAAGUGCUGAUGCCCAAGUGCCUGAUGAUGAGUCUCUGGUCCUCGUAAAAAUGUAAAUAGAGUGGUCGUGUGAGAGGGGAGUGGGGCCUGGGGCUUUCAUACUCUCUUAUAUUUUUUUUUUAAAUCCACUGAUAUAUUUGUUUAAAAUAAUUUAUCUAAAUGAUAUUGAACGGCAUUGAUUGUCGUUAGUAAUCAUAAUCAUAAAUUAUUUUUUUGUAACUGGAGCUAAUUGUGAAGACUCGCUUAUAUAUGAACAGACUAGAUCGCACAGUAUUUUGCGAUAAUAACGUAAACGAGGACGUUGUUGGAUAAGAGAUAAUAAUAAUUUAUAAAAUAAAACAUACAAAAAAGACAGAUUGAGUCUGCGACAGCUAUUAGGGCGAGCCGUGAGUCGUUUGUCGAUGCACACAUGGAAGGCAUGGAAUAGCCGAUCGAUUUAAAGUGCACCAGGAAGGGAGAAUUAACGAGGAAUAAUUAAAGUGACGAAUUGAGAAUGGCGUCAAGAUUGCCAAGCAGUCAUCAGAGGAAGCUGGGACCGGCGCCGAUCGCAUCGUUCGAGGAUUUGUCCGACGAGGUGGAAAACGGAGAAUCGACAACAGCACGAAUGCCGGGGAUUAUUGAGGUGACGACUCCUAUAACACCUGGUAGCUCACUCAAGACUCCCAGCACCCCGAGGAUUGACAUCAGUCGGGCCAGCAGUUCAUCCCAUCAUGAGGACAGUAACAACUCAAGAGAAUCUUCUCCCGAGAGAGAAUUACUGGCAGGAGCAGAGCCACCAGCCGGAACGACUCUGUCGUUGGGUUACAAAGAAGAUGCCCAGGAUUUGCGAUCGUCUACAGAGGAACUGGACUUGCAGGAUCCAGUUCACGCUCAAGAUCUUAAAAGAGACUCAAAGAGAGCACGAAGGAAAAAAGAAGACGGCACACAAUCAGAGUGUGGAAUUAGUUUGAAACAUGAACGGGAACGUAAAGAUAGUAAUUGUUCCGAGAUUAUUUUACUUAAUAUCAGUGGCAGAACGUCACGGCUGUCUUCCGUUGGGAGUCAAGGCUCCGGUGUAUCCGGAAGACUCUCAGUUGUCUCUGCUACCUCUUCCAGAUCACCCAGUCCGCACAAAUGUCUCCUAGAGACGUCAUUCUGUGGCAGCAAGCCCACGUUAGCGGAAACAUCGAUUGAAACUUCAAAACCAGAGACAGAAGACUUGGAGAUUAUGUUACUGAAGCGGGAGGCUGACACGACAAAAGCCCUUAUUCCGGAGAGCAUAAAGGUGCCAAUGGUAGGCGGGAAUCUAAAGCCUGAUCCCCUGGAUAAGCCAAGAAGACGGGGGUAUGAAGAACGUAAAGAAAUAUUUAAACGUGAAGUCGAGAUCACGAAGCGGGUCUUGGAAAAGGUCAACAUUGAGGUUCCAAUUAUUAGGAAACCGCAGAAAGUUGAGGAACGAGAUGUAAAAACGGGUGUUGAGGUACAGAAGCCAGUGACGCUUGACUUUAAUGAUAAGAGAAAAAAAGCUCAAAAUUUUAAGGAUGUGGUUCAGACAACUCCGAGCAUCGGGAGUCUCAGUGGGAGUCCGAAACUCCCGCGGCAUCAGAAAGUUCGGGAACUCGAAGGUUCGAGAACUCCAAGUCCUUCAUCGGUUUCGAGAAAAAGUAGUUUUGCGUCUUUAUUCAAAACGCGGACGGAAGUUAAUGCAUUGAGUCCCGAGUCACCUUCGCCGACGCCGAGCGCGAAGCCUCGACGGAGCUUGACAUCUAAGAUUAAAGAUACGACGGAAAGCUUGAGAAGUAGAUCUAAAUCCCGAGAGCGCACGUCUGUUGAUAAAGGAAGUACGAAGAAUAAAAAUGUUUUUACGUCAACGCUGAGUAUUUUCAAGAAACGUGAGAGGAAGAAAAGUAUUCAGUAUGACGGAGGCAGUACUCCGGACCAUGAACUAAUGGGUCAUCCGUCGCUGGAGAGUAUCGGGAAUGUCGAGUUUAGAUUCGAGGCGGAUCGACCCAGUCGCAAUGAAGAUUCAAUUUUUAUAAGCUUGCAUGCUGACUCGAGAAAUUAUGAGGAGGCUUUGCCGUCUGAGAGCGUGUCUAUACCCAUUGAGACGCCGACAAAAUUGUUGGAUGAGUACGAAAACGAACCACGGACAGGCAAUAUCGUGACUGAGGCAUCGAUCGAACAUCAGGGCUCGGGGAUAAGGAUAAGAACUGAGGCGAUGAUUGAGUCGACGGGUCGCGAGGAAGUUCAGAGUCCCCUGCGGCCGAGCACGUCGAAAGAUUCCCAGUUGUCAAAGAGUUCGUCGAAGGACUCGCGGGUCAGUAUUCAAACGGCAAAACACAUUGAGGUCCCGUCAAGACCUGGGUCUGCGGAGGUCGGGAAAUCCAGCGACGCUAAGUCGGUCAGUGUUUCGAGUAGGGAUUCCGUUGAAAGCAAGAGCAGGGUAGCUGGUGAACCCAUCGUCAAGCCAAAGAGGAAAAGCAAAGAGAGUGUGUCAAGAGUUGAAAGUAAAUCAAAAGUUGUCGAGAGUAAAUCAAAUGGUGAUAAAAGUAAAUCGGGGAUAGAAAUCGACGGUCUGUCGAUAAAUGAAGAAAGUCAAUUGAGAAUAACAGAAAGUGAUAAAAAAAAUAAAGUAAACGGAACUGAAAGCUCGUCUUGUAAGUUGCCGCCAGAGACUGAUAAAUCCUCAGAGUCAACUCAAAGAUUAUCUGAAAGUCUUAUGGUUAAAUCUCAAGAUGGUUUAGUUAAGACACCGAGUGUAGUUUCUGAUUUAGAUCACAAUAGUUCCGAGUCUGAGCGUGAUUCCGAAAUUGAUUUUGUGAGAAAUAAGGUAGUGAAAGUUGUUAGCGAUGAGUUACCGGACGAGAGAAAGGGUUUGUUUAAUGAGGAAAGUUUUGAAGAGGAUCUUCCUUACGUGCCAACGACGUUGCCCAUGGAGAAGAGUGUCGCCGUACCAAUGCUGCCAGUAAAACAGCGGCUGCAAGAAGUAAGAACGAUCCCAAUAGAGCGGCCGAGAUCUACAACUCCCAUUAAUCCAACUCUGCUCGACGAAUUCGUUAUGCAGACAUCACACGACGACAAACGGGCUGACAAAAUGAAGAUUUCGUUGCCGCGGGAAGACAGUUUCAAAUUAAAAAGUCCACGCAAGCACUCGAUGAACACAUUUAGUGAGUUUGCCGAGCGCGUGGUACCCGAUGCUGUCAAAAGAGCCGCGGGAAAGUCACCGAGUCCACCGCCACCACUGCCACCCAGAGCACCCGCCGUUCGGCCAACGAAUUGGGUUAAUUUUGAAGAAAUUCCUGAGCGCCGAAAAGCUCCCAAGAGGAUCCAAACGAUACCACGUCCAGAGGAAGACAGCAAAGCUGGUUACAGUUACGUCCAGCCAGAGGAAUGUCGAUGCGAGUGUCACGAAGAAUCUAGAAGAGCUUCCCAUAGAGAACCAACCGCUGGUUCCAGCAUAAAUACCGGAAUUACUGCCAGCAUUUCGUCGGCAUCAGCGACUCACGGGUCCUCUGUAACCCGAACUUCGUCAACAUGCAGCAGCAGCAAUGGGGAGCGCGCUUGCAAUGGCGAUAAUUGCACAGUUCCUACGAGCUCGGGUGAUCGUGCCAGUAUCGUGAGUGACAGCUCUCUGGAUCUAAGUCCCGUUAACGAGGAUCCGAUUGCGACACAAGCGCUCUUAGGACCCAUGAAACCCUUCGCGAUGGAUCUUGACGUCGGAUCAAAUCGAUCUAGUAUCAUAUCCCAGGAAGAGACUGACGAUAUUAAUCUGUAGAAGAUUUAAACAUUAACUGAAAAUUUAUUUUUAUUUUAUUUAUUUCGGUGUUAAACUAAAAACCCGUGACAGUUUCAGGGAAUUGAUUUUAUGAUUGUGAAUACACACUGUCUCAAUAGCAGUUUACUAAACUCGACAUUAUUUUUGACGUUUAAAAGUAAAAUAAUGAGUCUGACCUAGAUCUUUUGAGUCACACUGAAUUUUUAUGUUCUUUAAAUGGAUAAAAAUCUAAUGACAUAAAUGAAAUAUUUGGUAAAAAAAUAUAUUAUUUUUGAACAAAAGUUUCUGAUGAUUAAAUUGGGUUAGCGGAGUGACGAGAAGAGAACGAAACAUAUGAAGGAAAAAUAUAAUAAAAACUUUGAACAUUUACCGGAAAAUAAAUGGCGAAAUGGGUGAGUGAGUUGUAAUAAUCAAUACUUGAUGCUUGUGUUAUUAUUAUUAUAUUUAUUUAUUUAUUUAUUAUUGUUACUAUUAUAAUUAUUGUUGCAAGAGGAAGUUUAAAAUUUGUUCACAAGCCAGACUUCGUCGUCUAUUUCCAACCAUUAAAUUAAUUUUAAAUUUAUACUUCUCGAGCAAACGAUCGAUUGACCCUCAUCUCGCUGGCUUAUUCUUUAAUAAUUUAAAAAAUAACGACAUAUUUAUUCUCGAGAAAAAACCCAUGAAAAAGUAAUAAACACACUGUAAAAAAUUUGCGGAGUGAACGCGGGGCGGUUGAGUUUUAUCCAUUUAAUUCUUUCAGAGUUAAUUUCACUCCGAAGGAAGGUUUCGGAAAAUAUUAAUUAUAAAAAAAAUACUAAUACAUAGUGAGCUUAGGUCUUUGAUAUUUUGACAUUUAUAUUGAGUACGGAAAUAAUUACGAGCUCCUUUUCCAUAUUUUUACUCGAAAUGAUUUUUAAAAACUACAAGCAGCUGAUAAUAAAACUUGAACAAAUAAAAUUCCAUUGAGUCACAAACUGUCUUAUGACUUACAUCAACCAUACCACGAGAUAACAUUUCAUACUGUACCGAAAUAUAAAAUAUUCCCAUAAAAACUAUGUCACUAUAGCUAUUCAAUAAUUUAAUAUUUUCGCUAUGUAUUAUAUAUAUGAAAUUAUAAUUUAGUGAGUUAUUACAAAAUUUUAUAAAUAAAAAACAUAGUAUUUUAAGUUUAAUUAUUAAUAUCUGAAUGAAUUAUUUAUUAAAAUUAUUAUGUUUCUAAUUAACAGCUGUUUUUAUUAAAUAUAAAUUUAUUUAAGUAUUAAAACUCCGGACCUGAGUGAAUGCGGUUGAAAUAAAAUCUGCGUCAUUCCGAAAUCACUCCGUCAAUAAAAAAAAUCCCAAUUCACUCCUUGUGCGGAGUGAUUUUUUUUAAAACUCCGGAUUGAAAUAAUAUUCGUAUUCAUGCCGGAUUCACUCCCGAUUUUUUACAGUGUAAAAUAAAAUUCAGUUUUUAGACCGAUCGAUUACGGUGGGCUAAAAAUUUUAAUUUUAUUUAUUAAUUAUAAGGAUUUAUCAAUAAAAAUAAUAAUAAUUAUUAUUAUUAUUAUUACGUAAUAAAUAAGAGAAAAAAUAUUUAAUUGUAAUUACGAGACCACUUGCGAUGUUAAUAGUUAAUUAACGCGAUUCGCGUCAAAGCCUUUAGAAAGUCCAACGGAAUCCAAAAAAUAUAUAUAUGAAUAAAAAUAUAAAUUUCUUGAUAUUUAACGACAAUUUAUCUGAUAGCUGAUAAUACUUAUCGGCGCAAUCGGAAUAAUUAACGAAGCGACGCGUCAUUGAGUGAACUUGUGAAAGAUAAUUAAAUUGAAUAAAAAUAUAAUCAAAUUACGGAACGGAAAUUAAAAUGAAUUAUCACUUGUUAAAUAUAGUUCUCAUUAAAUAAUUGUACUAAAAAAAAAUUAUGAAACUUGACCUCUCUGCUCAACGAAAACUAUUUUAUUUUAAAUUCGGUGGUAAAAUAAAGUAAUUUUAAUCCAUCCCACACCCACAUUACCUCUUAGAUGUAUUUUCUACACAAAAUAAUUACACUGUGUUCAUACGAAUUAAUUAAAUUCUGGCUAUACAGUAAGAUUUGUCAAUUCAUUAAGAUCAAAGUAUGUAAUUUUUCGAUUAUUAAUAAUUGCUAUUAUUACAAUUACAAUUAUAUCUACAAUCACAUGUCUAGAAUUUAUAUGCUUUGAUUUAUGUUGAACAUCAUGUGCGCAAAAAAAAAAAUUUUCUUGGCACAAGAAAUAUUUUUCUUCAUACGAAAAAAAAUAGAUAGUACUGGUUACUGUUCUGCGCAGUAAUCGACGAAGAAUAUAGGAAAAAAUACAAUUUAAUAUGACUGAUUCAUAUUAGAACAGGAGUGUCAUUGCUUAACAUGUAUAUAUACUAUUACUUUUUAAACAGUAACCAGUGCUGUGCUACACAGUACAUAAAACAUAUGACUGGUUACUGUUAAAAUAGUCGUCGUUCAUAGUUCAAUAGUACACGGAGAAAUUAUUAUUGUUUGAAAUGCUAUGAUGUCAUAGUAAAGCCGGACUGCGUUGAUCACCUGCCGGAAAUUGAAAUAAACACAUGCAAAAAUUACUACGACCAUAGUAAAAUUUACGAUAGUUACAGUAAUUUGUGAUAUAAUCGUCGUAAAUUUUACUAUGACCAUGGUAUUUUUGACAUCUGUUUAUUUCAAUGUUCAUAAGGUGGUCACCAUGGUCCGGCUUUACUAUGACACCAUAGCAUUUUAAACAAGAAUAAUUUUUCCGUGUAUACAAAGAUCUCAGCACAGCUCUUGUUGCUGUAAAGAAUGCGAACACUUACUAUGUACAGUCGAACUCCAUUAACUCGGAACUUCCCCUUAAUCUUGAUCCCCACUAUGAGCUACGGUGUUUCCCACCCAAUGCUAUACAUUUGUAUGUGUCUGCGUAUAUUUACAUGUCAUCAUUCAUGUAAAUGUAAGAGCACAUGCGUAUAGUUUAGUUUUUAAGGGAGAGGGGGUAUCCGUUAACUCGAAAAUUCCAAGAAAUUUCCGCUCCUCCGUAGACUAAUUGUCCAAGUUAAUGAAAUCUACGAGAUAUAAGUAACCAUUCCUGUCACUAACUAGUAAGUUCUUGCAUUCUAUACCGCAACCAGAGCUGUACUGAGAGGUUUGCAUACUCUUGUCCUAUGAACGACGACUAUUUUAACAGUAACCAGUCAUAUGUUUCAUGUACUGUGUAGCACAGCACUGGUUACUGUUUAAAAAGUAAUAGUACAUGUUAAGCAAUGACACUCCUGUUCUAAUAUGAAUCAGUCAUAUUAAACUGUAUUUUUCCUUAUAUUCUUUUCGCAGAACAGUAACCAAUACUAUCUAUUUCUUUCGAUGUGAAGAAAAAAAUUUUCUCGGGACUAGAAAAAAUUUUUUGCGCCAAGAAAUCCUUUUUUCUGUGUGGUUAUAAAAAAAAAAUAUUUAUGGUGUAAUUUAAUUAAAACUGAGACUGCGAUGGCGAUUAUAACUAAAGAAUAAAAAUAAAUAUAAUUUUUAUUUUAAAAUAUUUAAAAUUAAAUAUUAGAAUCCAAAAAAUAUUUAAGGUACCAAAAAACAAAAAAAAAAAAUAUAUAUAUAGUAAUUAUUAUUUUUAUUCUUCAGUUUGUCGACAACUCUCGCUUCCUACCACUAAUUAUGUAUUCUACUAAAAAAAAAAAAAAAAAAAAAACAAAAAAAAAACAAUAAUAAUAACAA